rnacentral:lncRNA from 1 species
CUGUGACUUCCAAACUAGGUCAUAUAAGGUAAUAUGACUUCAUCCUGGCCCUUCUCUCUUGGGACGCUCACCAUGGAACCUAGCUGAGAGGAAGCCCAGGCAACGUGGUGAUGCCACACAUGGGUAUUCUGCUCAACAGCCCCAGCUAAGGUCCCAGCCAACAGCCAGCUUUGACUACCAGACAUGUGAAUGAAUGAACCUUCAGAUAACUCCAGCCCCACCUUUGAGUCUUUCAGCUGAGCCUCAGACACUAUGAAGCAGACUAGCUGUCCUCAAAAUGCCGUGUGCGAAUUCCUGACCUACAGGAACCAUGAAAAUAGUAUAGCCAAAUAUUUGUCCAAAGCAGUUGAGCCAGCAACGUAAGAGAGUUCCAAUUGCUUCCUGUCUUCACCAGCGUUUGGGAAACAUUCUGGUCAGUUGUAACAGUGACUGGAUCAUCCAAUACGCGUUUGUGGAAAGCAGAAUGGCGGAGAGGGACGUGGAAGGAUAGAGAAAGAGACGCAGGAGGGGAAGAAGAAUGCAGCAGCUGUGAUGCAAUUCCAGUCCCAGGCCUUAAGAAGAUCUGGCAGCUUCUGCUUUUGCUCCCUGGGGGAAGCCAGCCCGCUGUGAGCAGUCCAACUAUCCUGAGAGAUCACCUGGAGAGGCCAAGCAGAGGAGAACUGAGGAACCCAGCCAACACCAAGGACUGAAGCCUAGAUAUAUGACCCCACUUGAAUUGUUCCAACCAGACCUCAGCUUUUUGAGCCAUUCCAGCUGAGGCCCCAGACAUCACAGAACAGAGAUGAGCUAUUCCCACCAUGCUCUGAUCAAGUUACUGACCCACAAAGCCAUGUUCCAAUGAAAUGCUGUUUUAAGCCACUAAGUUGUGGGAUAGUUUGUUGCACAGCAAAAGAUACCUGAAACAGGAGAUAUUCACCACGAAAAUGACAAUUCCUUUCAUCAUUCUCAGUUUUUAUUCUCCUUAAAAUAUGCCUGUGGGAAGAAAACAACUCUUAAUACAAGGUAAAAGUCAUAAUAGAGGAGAUAUUUGGG